rnacentral:rRNA from 1 species
ACGCUGGCGGCGUGCCUAAUACAUGCAAGUAGAACGCUGAAAGAGGAGCUUGCUUCUCUGGAUGAGUUGCGAACGGGUGAGUAACGCGUAGGUAACCUGCCUGGUAGCGGGGGAUUACUAUUGGAAACGAUAGCUAAUACCGCAUAAGAGUAGAUGUUGCAUGACAUUUGCUUAAAAGGUGCAAUUGCAUCACUACCAGAUGGACCUGCGUUGUAUUAGCUAGUUGGUGGGGUAACGGCUCACCAAGGCGACGAUACAUAGCCGACCUGAGAGGGUGAUCGGCCACACUGGGACUGAGACACGGCCCAGACUCCUACAGGAGGCAGCAGUAGGGAAUCUUCGGCAAUGGACGGAAGUCUGACCGAGCAACGCCGCGUGAGUGAAGAAGGUUUUCGGAUCGUAAAGCUCUGUUGUAAGAGAAGAACGAGUGUGAGAGUGGAAAGUUCACACUGUGACGGUAUCUUACCAGAAAGGGACGGCUAACUACGUGCCAGCAGCCGCGGUAAUACGUAGGUCCCGAGCGUUGUCCGGAUUUAUUGGGCGUAAAGCGAGCGCAGGCGGUUAGAUAAGUCUGAAGUUAAAGGCUGUGGCUUAACCAUAGUACGCUUUGGAAACUGUUUAACUUGAGUGCAAGAGGGGAGAGUGGAAUUCCAUGUGUAGCGGUGAAAUGCGUAGAUAUAUGGAGGAACACCGGUGGCGAAAGCGGCUCUCUGGCUUGUAACUGACGCUGAGGCUCGAAAGCGUGGGGAGCAAACAGGAUUAGAUACCCUGGUAGUCCGCGCCGUAAACGAUGAGUGCUAGGUGUUAGACCCUUUCCGGGGUUUAGUGCCGCAGCUAACGCAUUAACCACUCCGCCUGGGGAGUACGACCGCAAGGUUGAAACUCAAAGGAAUUGACGGGGGCCCGCAC